GACGAACCGUGCAAACGUUAUUCGGAAUCACUGGGCCUAAAGGGCGCGUAGGCGGCUCCAAAAGUCAGGGGUGAAAUCCGGCAGCUUAACUGUCGCAGUGCCUUUGAUACUGUGGAGCUAGAGGGAGGUAGGGGUCUGUGGAACUUCCGGUGGAGCGGUGAAAUGCGUUGAUAUCGGAAGGAACGCCGGUGGCGAAAGCGACGGACUGGAUCUCAUCUGACGCUGAGGCGCGAAAGCCAGGGGAGCAAACGGG
rnacentral:rRNA from 1 species